AUGGCAACAGUCACAGCCGUCAGGAACUAUUAAAAUCGUCCAUCCUCAACACUUCACAAUGUCAUAAUACACAAGACGCGAGCACUAGCCGGGCCAAUAUUCAUUUAAAACGUUAAU